UUGGAUGAUGGUUUGGUUAUGAAGGACAAUCUUCCCCAAAAUUGGAACGAAAGAUAUAGAGUUGAGAAAGAAUUAGAGCAUGUGUAUCAUAUGGAAGAAGUGUAUUGGCAACAACGGGCCGGAAAAAACUGGAUUCUCAAAGGUGACUCUAAUUCUAGUUUUUCCACCUGUUUGCUAACGGUAGGAGGAGGAAAAAUAAUAUUCUACAGUUGGUGGCAGAUUCUUGUACCUUGGUGGACCAGAAAGAUAUUAGCAAUCACGUGGUUGAUUUUUAUAAACAGCUUUUUGGACCAUCUACUCCUUGUGCGAUGAAGUUACGCGAGAAUUUCUGGGAAGGUAGAAGUGAAUUAUCAAUUGAGGAGGCCAUUCACCUGAUUAGGCCUUUUGAUGAAGAGGAGAUAAAACAG
rnacentral:misc_RNA from 1 species